GAUGAACGCUAGCGAUAGGCCUAACACAUGCAAGUCGAGGGGCAGCAUAGAGUAGCAAUACUUUGAUGGCGACCGGCGCACGGGUGAGUAACACGUAUGCAACCUACCUACAUCAGGGGAAUAACCCGGAGAAAUUCGGACUAAUACCGCAUAAUACAGGGAUGCCGCAUGGCAAUAUUUGUUAAAGAUUUAUCGGAUGUAGAUGGGCAUGCGUUCAAUUGACUAGUUGGUGAGGUAACGGCUCACCAAGGCAACGAUGGAUAGGGGAACUGAGAGGUUUGUCCCCCACACUGGAACUGAGACACGGACCAGACUCCUACGGGAGGCAGCAGUGAGGAAUAUUGGUCAAUGGACGAGAGUCUGAACCAGCCAAAUCGCGUGAAGGAAGACUGCCCUACGGGUUGUAAACUUCUUUUGUACAGGAAUAAAAGACAUUACGUGUAAUGUAUUGCAUGUACUGUACGAAUAAGCAUCGGCUAACUCCGUGCCAGCCGCCGCCGUAA
rnacentral:rRNA from 1 species